AUGGCUUAUUCAGACCCCCUCUCCCGGAGCCCCCAGGAAGCCUCGAGCGCAGCCCUCAGACCCAGAAUCGUCGCAGGCCAUCUCUCUGCACACCUGGGUCCAUCCUCACGUCCUCAUGUACCUCCCUGCCCUUCUGGGAGCUUUACAGAGAUGAGGGUCUCUGCCCAGCAGACGUGGGUGGCAAAUAAGGGGCAAGUAACCUUGGAUAACAUGGCUGUGGACGUCAUCCAGGAGGUAUGGGUGCUGCAGGGCCCUGGCCAGAGGACCCUAUACCACGAUGGGAUGCUGGAGACCUUAGGGCAUCUGGUCCCUGUGUUGACUUACACCUGGCAGGGGUCUUGGCAGAGUAGCUGUGUGAGGUCUGUGAACCCUAGGAGGGUUCCUCUUAUUCCAGACCCUCACGGCCUGAUCUCUCACUUGGACAGGGCCUUGGAUACCCAACCCAGCUCUCCUUGCCCCACUGGAACUUCUAGUGGAGCCAUGGAUAGUGGACAGAGGACUCUCCCAGGAUUCCUGCCCAGGGAUGUAAGAAAUUGGAGGCUGAAUACUGAGCUGGUGGCAAAGAGCCGUGGAAGGCGGGGCUUCUGCGUGGUUAUCAACAGUAGACAAGCAUCGGGACUUUCACGUGGGGAACCCACUCCCAUCGACUGUUGACCUUAGUGACUCUUGGACUCUUGGCUGGAGGAGACGAAUUAAUUCUAGGAUUUGAGAGCGUAAGGUAACUGUGAGCUAGCUAAUUUGUGCUAGUUAUUUUACUAUUGGUGACCCUACAAACGAGUUCAUAAAAUGCCCUAGGUGUUCCAGUUAACGCCUCCUGGACUCCCUCUCCCUUUACCUUUCAUUCUCAUCUGACUAUGAGGAAGUGGAACCAGCUGGAGCCCUUCAUGCGGCAUGGGGUGGCCACACUUUGGGCGUCUCCCAGAGGAAGGGCAUGUCCAUAGAGAACCUAGAUUCUCCUACUCCUCUGGUCUUUUCCCACUCAGAAAGCUCAGUAACAGCUCAGAUCCCCUAAUAGGGACAUCCAAGACGGCUGUCCAGCCCAGCCUUUGCCACCUCGUAGCACAGAGCAUAAGGUACCAUCCAGCAAGCUGGGGUAGCUGAAGUAGGAGAGGGCCUGGGUAGGAGGGAAGCCAAUCACUACACACCUGUAACCAUUCCCAGCCACCCUGGGUGAGCAGCUCCGCACGGAGAGGCCUCCUCUAUGGCCCCCCCCCCCUUUUCUGGGUAUUACAGGCUGGACUGCAGCCCAUGACGCAGAACCUUGAAUACACUGUCUGUUGGCUCUACUUUUAAUUAAAAUACUAACAUGUCCACAAUCUGACGGCUGAUCACCACCCCCUUGGCUACUGCGUUGGUUCAUGGGUCACCCCGGCCUUUCCCUCCCGGGCUCGGUCUGCUCUCUACGGAAGCCGGAGAGCUCUGGCGAGGCCAGAGCCCAGGUCUGCUCGGCCCACCUCGCUCAGGGCCGGAGCAGUGACGGCUCCCUGCAGUCGGACACUCUGUGACCACCGUGCUGUUCCCUCAGCUGACAGUCGCAACUAAGGUGAAGUGAACGGGCACGGCGAGCACGGAGCAAGGAGAAGGCGGCGGGGGCGCGGGAAGCCAGGGCCUGGGCAGGGGUGGGAGAGAGGCCUCGGUCCAGGACUCAGUUCGACUCGGUAACAAGCCACGUGGCUUCAUACGUGAGGGGAAGCUCAAAGUCAGGCUCCUCAUCCGAAAACGGGGCAUCGUAACAGCCACUUCCUUACAAUCUCGCAACUGUUAAGCGACGGAGAGCGCUCGGACUCCCCCACGUUCCUCCUGCUCAGCGCGGCGACGCGAGCCGCCAUCUUACGGACGGCGGGCUGAUGCUCGCGAGCCGCGAUCACCCAGGCGCCCCACGUCGGCCAGCGGCGGCGGGGGAGCGCGGUCCGCCGCUGGGACAGAGCCGCCCGCCCUGCCGCGGCUUCGAACACGGCGACCCGGGUCAGCGCGUCGGAGGGCGCGUUGGAGGCGGCGCAGCCCCAGCA
rnacentral:lncRNA from 1 species